rnacentral:rRNA from 1 species
UCGGGAAUUUUGGGCAAUGGGCGAAAGCCUGACCCAGCAACGCCGCGUGAAGGAUGAAAUCUUUCGGGAUGUAAACUUCGGAAGAAUAGGAAGAAUAAAAUGACGGUACUAUUUUAAGGUCCGGCUAACUACGUGCCAGCAGCCGCGGUAAUACGUAGGGACCAAGCGUUGUUCGGAUUUAUUGGGUUUAAAGGGUGCGUAGGUGGCCCUGUAAGUCAGUGGUGAAAUAUCUCAGCUUAACUGAGAGGGUGCCAUUGAUACUGCAGGGCUUGAGUACAGAUGAGGUAGGCGGAAUUGACGGUGUAGCGGUGAAAUGCAUAGAUAUCGUCAAGAACACCGAUAGCGAAGGCAGCUUACCAAGCUGUAACUGACACUGAGGCACGAAAGUGUGGGGAUCAAACAGGAUUAGAUACCCCCGUAGUCCCUGAGCGGGCUGGCAAGGCGCAU